rnacentral:rRNA from 1 species
GAUGAACGCUGGCGGCGUGCCUAAUACAUGCAAGUCGAGCGAACAGACGAGGAGCUUGCUCCUCUGACGUUAGCGGCGGACGGGUGAGUCACACGUGGAUAACCUCCCUAUAAGACUGGGAUAACUUCGGGAAACCGGAGCUAAUACCGGAUAAUAUAUUGAACCGCAUGGUUCAAUAGUGAAAGUCGGUUUUGCUGUCACUUAUAGAUGGAUCCGCGCCGCAUUAGCUAGUUGGUACGGUAACGGCUUACCAAGGCAACGAUGCGUAGCCGACCUGAGAGGGUGAUCGGCCACACUGGAACUGGGCCACGGUCCAGACUCCUACGGGAGGCAGCAGUAGGGAAUCUUCCGCAAUGGGCGAAAGCCUGACGGAGCAACGCCGCGUGAGUGAUGAAGGUCUUCGGAUCGUAAAACUCUGUUAUUGGGGAAGAACAAAUGUGUAAGUAACUAUGCACGUCUUGACGGUACCGAAUCAGAAAGCCACGGCUAACUACGUG